UACGUAGGGUGCAAGCGUUUGUCCGGAUUUAUUGGGCGUAAAGAGCUCGUAGGCGGCUUGUCGCGUCGUCCGUGAAAACCCACAGCUCAACUGUGGGCUUGCGGUCGAUACGGGCAGGCUAGAGUUCGGUAGGGGAGACUGGAAUUCCUGGUGUAGCGGUGAAAUGCGCAGAUAUCAGGAGGAACACCGGUGGCGAAGGCGAGUCUCUGGGCCGAUACUGACGCUGAGGAGCGAAAGCGUGGGGAGCGAACAGG
rnacentral:rRNA from 1 species